CUACCAGCUGAUUCCUUUCUAGCAAUGUAAUGCUUCACCGUCAGCUGACUGACACAAGAAGAAAAAGAGAGAUAUUAACACUGUCUUAGCUGAAACCAGGACACAAUUCUAGCUUCGUAAGUUUCCACUCAUGGGCAGGGACAUCUUCCACUAGAACAGACUGUUCAAACCCCCGUCCAACCUGGCUUUGAACACUUCCAGGGAAGGAGCAUAAACAACUUCUCUGGGCAACCACUUCCACUGCCUCAGCAUAGUCAAUACUGAAGCAAUGCAGAGAUAUAUUCAAUGUUAAGGUGUGAAACAACUUCCCUCUCCUGUGAGAAAGACAGUGCCAUCCAGGAUAAAAGUUGGGAGGUUCAGUACAGCAAUUCCAGCCAUGCAGUGCACAAUUCUAGGAAUUGACUGUCGUUGAUACAAAUGAAAAAUGCAGUUAAUACAUAAAAUAUUCAUAUCACUUACAAAAGAAGAAGAAAGUGAAAAAGCAAGAGGAUCAUAUUAUCUUACAGAUCAAAGUUUGCUGAGGAGCAAGUCCAGGCAAGUCCUGGGCAAAGGCAGAGAAAUCUUCUGUCUU
ensembl:lncRNA